CCCGCUGAACUUAAGCAUAUCAAUAAGCGGAGGAAAAGAAACCAACAGGGAUUGCCUUAGUAACGGCGAGUGAAGCGGCAAAAGCUCAAAUUUGAAAUCUGGCAGUAAUGUCCGAGUUGUAAUUUGAAGAAGGUAACUUUGGUGAUAGCUCUUGCAUAUGUUCCUUGGAACAGGACGUCAUAGAGGGUGAGAAUCCCGUCUUGGACCGGCGGUAGGGCCUAUGUAAAACUCCUUCGACGAGUCGAGUUGUUUGGGAAUGCAGCUCAAAAUGGGUGGUAAAUUUCAUCUAAAGCUAAAUAUUGGCCAGAGACCGAUAGCGCACAAGUAGAGUGAUCGAAAGAUGAAAAGCACUUUGAAAAGAGAGUUAAACAGUAUGUGAAAUUGUUGAAAGGGAAGCGCUUGCAACCAGACUUGAGCGCGGCGGUUCCCCUAGCCUUUUGGCUAGGUUACUCCGCCGUGUCCAGGCCAACAUCGGUUCUGAGGGUCGGUCAAAGGCCUUGGGAAUGUAUCUACCUACGGGUAGACUUAUAGACCAGGGUGUCAUGCGGCCUCUCGGGACCGAGGAACGCGCUUCGGCUCGGAUGUUGGCGUAAUGGUUGUCAGCGACCCGUCUUGAAACACGG
rnacentral:rRNA from 1 species